CACGUAGGCGGACUUUUAAGUCAGGGGUGAAAUCCCGGGGCUCAACCCCGGAACUGCCUUUGAUACUGGAAGUCUUGAGUCCGGAAGAGGUGAGUGGAAUACCGAGUGUAGAGGUGAAAUUCGUAGAUAUUCGGUAGAACACCAGUGGCGAAGGCGGCUCACUGGUCCGGUACUGACGCUGAGGUGCGAAAGUGUGGGGAGCAAACA
rnacentral:rRNA from 1 species